rnacentral:rRNA from 1 species
GACGUAGGGCGCGAGCGUUGUCCGGAUUUAUUGGGCGUAAAGAGCUCGUAGGCGGUGUGUCGCGUCGGCCGUGAAAACCUGCAGCUUAACUGUGGGCUUGCGGUCGAUACGGGCAUCACUGGAGUUCGGCAGGGGAGACUGGAAUUCCUGGUGUAGCGGUGAAAUGCGCAGAUAUCAGGAGGAACACCGGUGGCGAAGGCGGGUCUCUGGGCCGAUACUGACGCUGGAGGAGC